rnacentral:lncRNA from 1 species
AAAGGGAAAACAGAAUUUGGGGAGAGUGGAGGAUGGGAGGACGGAGGCCUCAAAGAUGAAACCAACCUUUAUGGGUACCUGUCUGAUGCAGUUUUGUUCUUAGAGACGAGUCUCCUUUGAACUCCAAAAGAAUUGCUUUUUUUUUUUUUUUUUCUCCUGUGAAGUGUUUGAGGUUUUCUCAUUGUAGGAUCUAAAUCAGGAUAAGGUAGAACUUUCAAAUUGGCAUUCAUUCUUUUUGAUGGAAUUCAACUUGGGUAAUUGGUAAUGAAUGGGACUCUUAAAAACUGGUGUACUUAGCAUAUACAAAACCCCCAUGAACAACAUUUAACCAGCCACUGUCAAGCAGCUAAUUGUGCUCUGAGCACUUUACUAAAGAAGUAAUAACAGACAGGUCUUUGGCCCAUAUACACCUCUGGGUUUUUGUUUGUUUCUUUUUACAGUGAGCUGGGUGCUGAUUCAUCAAAUUGCAUAAAAUCCUCAGUUAAUCAACAACUGGUGAGUGACUACAAUGAGUGACUACAUAGAGGACAGAAACAAAUUGACACUUGACUGAUCUCUUCUGUCACCAUGAGUUGCUUUGCCUUGUGCAAUCUCAGAGCACCUGUCUUGACCAAUAUUGUAUACUUAUCCAUUCUGUCUGGUACUGAAGUACCAUGUUCCCUUAUCUAUUUCCUCAAGUAGAUUUUGGAGCCUCUGAAGGCAGGGAGAUUUUCCUUCUUAUAUUUGCCAAAGCAUUCUUAUAAUCCGUACUACAACCAAAAUUCCCAUCAUGGCUCAGUGGAAAUGAAUCUGACUAGUAUCCAUGAGGAUGCAGGUUCGAUCCCAACCCCACUCAAGUGGGUUAAGGAUCCAGCAUUGCCGUGACCUGUGGUAUAAGUUGCAGACUCGGCUUGGAUCUGGUGUUGCUGUGGCUCUGGCAUAGGCCAGCGGCUAUAGCUCGGAUUCAACCCCUAGCCUGGGAACCUCCAUGUGCUGAGGGUGCUGCCCUAAAAAGACAAAAACAAGCAAACAAAAAAAGUACUACUACCUUGAAGGGAGGCAAAAUUCGUGUGCAUUAAAAAAAAUAAUAAUUCAGGGUAAAAAAAAACCUCAAGUGUUCGAUGUGUGCAGUUCAGCCUGAAAAGGCCCUGGAAGACCAGAGAAGAGAACCACAUUGAGCAGCUGUGGCAGGAUUGUGGUAAAGAAAGCAUGUGUGCUCCCUAUUUUUGAAGGAGGUCAGGGCAGGUCCGGGAAUAGCAGAAGGACUUGUCGGACAGGGGACAAAAUUUACCAAGGCUGGAGGGAAGAACAUGACAUAAGACAUACCUGGAAUAGAUUCAUCUUCCAAAACCAUGGUUUGGUUACCUGAGCAACACAGGUUCCCAGCCACAUCUGCCACCUACACUAUAGCUCACAGCAACUCCUGAUCCCUAUACCACUGAGUGAGGCCAGGGAUUGAACCCAUAUCCUCAUGGAUACUAGUCAGGUUCGUUACCACAGAGCCACAACGGGAACUCCAGCAAUAGCUUUUAAAACCAUUUUUUCAGAGAAGCAGGAUACCAGUUAUCCUUUUUUGAUGGGGGAGGGUGGCUGCAGGGCAUGUGGGACCCAUCUUGGUGGCCAUCACCUCACCAAUUUGGGCAGCUUCUAAGGCCUAUUGGCUCAUUGGCUGGACCCGUGCAUUAGAAAUGCACUGACCUAGGGCACUUCUAAAGGCCUGGAUGAGAGGCCAUGUCCUCCUAGGUGUCAGUGAACCACAGUUUGUGUGGGAAAGUUGGAAACCCGUGUGACUGGAGGAGAGGGUUGCUGGUGGCAAGCAGUGCACGCAGGGGCUGGGCCCGACAUACAGGAAGCCCUUGGGAAAGUUUCUGUCGUGUCUGUGGAAGCGAGCUGUUGUAGACUGGGCAGGUGCCAUCCACAUGGUCAGAGAGGCCUCUACCAGUGCUUAGACGUGAAGUGUAGAGCCCCCAUAGACCCUUCCACAGGGGAGAGACAGGAUGAGCGUGGAGUUCUGGGAAGAGGAGUUCGGCAGACAACUAGAUUCCUCACUUAACUCAUAUUUUCCUUUUAGUUAGGAUAUAGUCUGGAUAUUGCAUAUUAGGGAACUAUCAUAGUUUUCUAAGGUGAAAUAUGGUAUUGUGGUUAUUCUCUUGGAAUAUGUGCUAAUUUUUUUUUUUAAGAGAUGAAGGAUUGUGAGAGCUGCAACUUAUUUUCAAACAAUUCAUAUAUAUGUUUGUGUGUAUAUAUAUAUAUAUUCCUAUAUCUACAUCUGAAUUGUUUGAAAAUAAGCAUAUAUAUUGUAUAAUAUAUGUGUGUACACCAUUUGUACACAUAUAUUUAUCUAUAAAGAGUCAACAACAAAUAUAGCAAGAUGAUCAUUGUUGGGUCUAGUAGUGGGUAACAGUUAUUCCUUACAUCAUAAUGAUAAUCACACAUAUUAGGGAAGUACUUACUCUCUGCCAGAUUAUGUAAUAAACAAUUCAGGCUUUGUCCUCAGCUUCUGAGUGGUAGUUUUUAAACCCUUGGUAUUUCCCCAAGUGAAGAGAGUGUCUGUUAUUCAGGGUGGGAUGCUGGGCCAUGUGAUUUCAGUCCAAACUUGGGGUGGGGAGACUGAAGACCAAGUUCAACCACAUGCACAAUCCAUCAAUCAAACAUGCCUGCAUAGAAGUUCUCUUGGGGUGAAUGGGUUAAGGAUCUGGCAUUGUCACUGCAGUGGCUCAGGUCGCUGCUGUAGUGCAGGUUUGAUCCCUGACCUGGGACCUUCUACAUGCCUCAGGUAAAGCCAAAAAAUAGUAAUAACUAUACAAGGAAGCCCCACUAAAAACUCUGCACACCACAGCUCAGAUGAACACCCCAGGAUCCUGUUUAUUGUCAGACAUCAAUAUAGGGCAUUAACACUUACUGAGGACAAUGAAAGCCUUGCUUUUGGAACCCUCCUAGACUCUUCCCUACAUGUUUCUUCCUUUAGCAGGUUCCAGUUUGUAUCCUUUCUCUGUAAUAAACUGUAACCAUGAGUGUAAUGACCUUCAGUGAGGCCUGUGAGUUCUUAGAGGUUUAUCCCAUUAUCAAAUCUGGAGUGGCUUUGAGAACUCCCUGAAACUGCCCUUGUUCAGAAGUUAGUUUGGUGUCAGAAGUGGGAACUGUGUUGGGGACUGUGCCCUUGGGCUGUUCAUUUUGGCUAAUCCUUCAUACUUUGUUUGAAUAUUUCCUACUCAUAACAUGAACAUUAAUGAGUUGUCAUAGGACCUACUGUUUGCCCUUUUUAUGGAUUAGAAAAAUUUAGGAACAGAUAAUUCCCCUGCCCAAGGUUAUACAUGUGCAAUAGUAAAUGGUGGAGCUAGAAUUUAACCCUUGCCAGGCUGCUCCAGAACUUGUGCAUCUUGCUGCAAAGGAAAUAAGCUUAUCCCAGGGAUAUUAGUGAAGAGAAUUCCAGAGUAGGUAGGUCCAGGUUGGGUCCUGUCUCCUCCUUUCUCUAAUUGCAGGUCUGUAGAAUAACAAUAAACCUUCAGAAUGAAGACCCCGAGGCAUAGCAAGACACCAAGCCCUGAAAGAAAGAUUUAGUGAUGUUUAAUACUACACACUUUGUUUUCUAAGGUCAUUAAGUGGACUAAUUAAUUUUGUAAAGAAGUCCAAGGGUUCUAACAUAAUGGGCUUUCUCAUAGACUUUUCCCUUGUCCAAGUAACAAGACCUCCCCAUUCUCUAGCCAUCCCAGUUAAUAAGAGACUUGCUAUAAAAUCUCAGUGGCAUGGAAAAAAUGCUUUAAAAGAGAGAGCAGCCCCACACCUCUCUCCACUAAUUGAUAGUUGACAGUCAUCCAGAUCUCAAUGGCAUGUGCUUCAGAAUUCAAAAAUAAGGGUGGUAAAAAUGUCAAUACUUUAAAGAAAUUAUAUGAAGGAAGAAGAUCUAUCUCAUAAGUGAAGCUCAUGAAAACUCCUCUUUUGCAAAAUUCAAAAAAACUCCAAUAGGAAAAGUUUAAUUUGAACAGGCUACAAAUGCCAAUACUUUGCCAGUACUUUGGUAAUUUUGUAAACCCUCCAGCUAAAUGUGCAUUAAAUGUUCAUCAAAUUGUCACAAAAGCAUCCAGAGAGAUAGUGCUAUAUAGAUGCCAGCAAAUGCUGUGAGUGGUGCUCUGCAGUGGUCAUGAAGUUGGGCAUUUGCUCUUUGAAUAUAUAUGUUGAUAUGUGAGCAAAUGCUCUGACACAGGUUGUGAAGAUGCUGUUCCUCCUUUGCUACUUCCAGAAGCCUGAAGGUUAGCAGUUCACUAGUAGGGGGAAUUUAGGCAACACCAAGAGCACAUAAACAAUAACCAAGAGAAAUCCAAGAGAUUAAAUCUCUGGUGUUGCUUUAUUCUGCUCACGUGAGCCUCAUGGGCAAAUGAAUCUCUAAGAGGCUUUAGUUUGCUCUUCUGUGGAAUUCUCUAAGUGGCUUAUGGUUCCCCUGCAAUAAACAAACCCCCCAACUCCAAACCUUGUAUUUGACAUAAUGCUUUGCUCUGAUUUCUGCUAUAGUUGUUUUCCAAAUUUUAUCAAUGGUCAAAAAAAUUUUUUUUUGGUUUCAGAACAUAAUUAUUACAGUCCUAAAAUGUUAUGUAUGAAAAAAAUGAAGACGAGAGAAAGAAAGGGUGGAAGGAAGGAAGGGAAAAAGAAAGAACCAUGAACCUUAACCAACAGAAAAUAGGAAACAGUGUUACAUGUUUUUCCUCAUCUCUAAAAUAAAAAUAAUAAAAUAAAAGUGCCAAUCUCACAGAGUUGUUAUGAGGAUUAAAUGAAUUAAUAUUUUUAAAGUGCUCAGAACAGUGCCAGGCUGUAAACUAUAUAACCUCAUUUAAAAGAAGUUUUUAAACACAAGUAAAAGAAACUUUGCAGGCACAAGAGGAAUAAAGUUAGUGAGAAUCAGCAAAGCCACCUUUGUCUUCCUUCUGAGUAAUUAAGUACCACAAGGCAGUUCUGGAAGCAGGCGGAAUUGAGGUAUAGUGGGAGAAAUGUGUUUCUAGCAAAUCUCAGCUAAGUGUUAUCCUUUGGUUUAUUUUCAUUAUAUGAGUUUUUGAUUGCUGCAUACUUUGAAGUUUGUCUCAAGGGAAAAAGUUGAAUUGGGACUCUUCGUGACUAGAAUCUUUGGCCUGGAAGGUUGGCGCCUUCAACUGUUUCUCUUGCCAAGCCUGUGAGAUUCUGUUCCUGUUCCAAAAGCUGACAGGAGCUUCCUUGCAAAUUUUUCUGAAAGAAAUGAAUGAGACUCUACUCCAACAGAUUUCUGCCUUUGUGGGCCCUUAACUAGCCUAAUUAGCUUGGUGAAUGAAUAGUGCGAAGGCAGAAUGGGCAGUGCAGCAGGCUCAGCUCUAGGGGUAGUGAUGCACGAGGCCCAACCGAUCACGGGGCAGGAACCCUCCUGUAGCCGGUCAGGAAUGCUUGAGAAAGGCGGCCUUGAAGAUUCUGCAGGAAAGCUGCUGCUGUCUUUUUGCUGAUUCCACAGGAAUGUGGGUUUUGAACUUUGAGUCCAGCAAAACCAUCUUUAUACCCAGAAAAAGCUUCAUAAUGGCAAACCUAGUGAGCAUAAGCUGUUACAUCAUUUACACUUUGGGACAUAAAAAAAGAAAGAAAAAUUUAAGGCCAUUUUCAGAAGCUAUUUUCUAUCUCCAAAAAGAAAAGUGACUGAGGGUGUUCCUGUUGUGGUUCAGCAGAAAGAAAUCCAAUUAGUAUCCCUGAGGACACAGGUUCGAUCCCUGGCCUCGCUCAGUGGGUUAGGGAUCUGGCGUUGCCGUGAGCUCUAGUGUAGUUUCCAGAUGCAGCUCAGAUCCCGCUGUGGUAUAGGCUGGCAGUUGUAGCUCCAAUUCAACCCCUAUCCUGGGAACUUCUAAAUGCCGUGGGUGAGGCCAUAAAAAGAC